rnacentral:lncRNA from 1 species
GGUGGUUAUCUUGGAAAUGAGCCAGACUCCAGGACUCCGUUGGUCUUCAGCUCAGACCCUGUGGACAGAAGGAGAGCGAAGUGCAUGCUGCUGGGAAUGUUUGCUUAUCUCUCUCCGGCAGUGUUCCCCAGAGUCCUGGUCCUGGGCUCUGGCUCCGAGGAGGUUGUGGGUGCUGAGCACCCUUGCCAUGCUGCCUGCAGACUCAGCCCAUCUGCUCCCCAGCGCGCCUUGCCACCCGCAGCCAGACUACACAGGCUGGCUUUGACAAAGUGACAGAAGCUGUAAAAACAGCUGUUUGUCAUUCCCUGCUGCAAAACAAAACAACCAGAAAAAGAGGUUGAGUGAAAUGAAGAAAAGAUAGUUGUUUCAUGUAGAUAAGGAUAUUUUUACUUAUAGAACACUUACUUUCUCUUUUCAUUUCUUUAGUUCCUACUCAACUAUUUCUCUUUUUCUUGCCCUUGCUCCUUCCUUUUUUCCUCCUUCCCC